AGGACAAUGUCAAGAAGGAAGGC
rnacentral:piRNA from 1 species